CGGGGGGAGCAAGCGUUGUUCGGAAUCACUGGGCGUAAAGGGAGUCUAGGCGGUUUGGUAAGUGGGAUGUGAAAUCCCCGGGCUCACCCCGGGACCUGCAUCCCAAACUGCUGAGCUUGAGUACGGGAGAGGGUGGGGGAAUUCCAGGUGUAGCGGUGAAAUGCGUAGAUAUCUGGAGGAACACCGGUGGCGAAGGCGCCCACCUGGCCUGCUACUGACGCUGAAGCUCGAAAGCUAGGGGAGCAAACGGGAUUAGAUACCCCGGUAGUCCUAGCCGUAAACGGUGAUCACUAGGUGUUGGGAGCAUCGACCCUUCCAGUGCCGCAGCUAACGCAUUAAGUGAUCCGCCUGGGGAGUACGGCCGCAAGGUUG
rnacentral:rRNA from 1 species